GCUUGAAGUCAGUCGCGUUGUCCGGAACUCAGCCUUGCUUUUGCUUGGUGCACUUUCCGGAUGACGGGUCAGCAUCGAUUUUGACCGUCGGAAAAGGGCUGGAGUAAUGUGGCACCUCCGGGUGUGUUAUAGACUCUGGUCGCAUACGGCGGUUGGGAUCGAGGAACGCAGCGCGCCGCGAGGCAGGGGUUCGCCCACUUUCGCGCUUAGGAUGCUGGCAUAAUGGCUUUAAACGACCCGUCUUGAAACACGGACCAAGGAGUCUAACAUACUUGCGAGUGUUUGGGUGGAAAACCCGAGCGCGUAAUGAAAGUGAAAGUUGAGAUCCCUGUCGUGGGGAGCAUCGACGCCCGGACCAGACGUUCUCUGACGGAUCCGCGGUAGAGCAUGUAUGUUGGGACCCGAAAGAUGGUGAACUAUGCCUGAAUAGGGUGAAGCCAGAGGAAACUCUGGUGGAGGCUCGUAGCGAUUCUGACGUGCAAAUCGAUCGUCAAAUUUGGGUAUAGGGGCG
rnacentral:rRNA from 1 species